rnacentral:tRNA from 1 species
GAUUUUGAGCGCCUGCUAUCUGCACAAACCGGGAGCGCAUCACAUUCGCAUUGUGGGGGUCGUCGGUUCGAAUCCGGUCAGAACCA